rnacentral:rRNA from 1 species
GCAGAACGCGAAGAACCUUACCAGCUCUUGACAUGUCUCGUAUGGGUACCGGAGACGGUAUCCUUCAGUUCGGCUGGCGAGAACACAGGUGCUGCAUGGCUGUCGUCAGCUCGUGUCGUGAGAUGUUGGGUUAAGUCCCGCAACGAGCGCAACCCUCGCCUCUAGUUGCCAUCAUUCAGUUGGGCACUCUAGAGGGACUGCCGGUGAUAAGCCGAGAGGAAGGUGGGGAUGACGUCAAGUCCUCAUGGCCCUUACGGGCUGGGCUACACACGUGCUACAAUGGCGGUGACAAUGGGCAGCGAAGGGGCGACCCGGAGCUAAUCUCAAAAAGCCGUCUCAGUUCGGAUUGUACUCUGCAACUCGAGUGCAUGAAGUUGGAAUCGCUAGUAAUCGUGGAUCAGCAUGCCACGGUGAAUACGUUCCCGGGUCUUGUACACACC